rnacentral:rRNA from 1 species
CAGUAGCCGCGGUAAUACGUAGGGUGCAAGCGUUAAUCGGAAUUACUGGGCGUAAAGCGUGCGCAGGCGGUUAUAUAAGUCAGAUGUGAAAUCCCCGGGCUCAACCUGGGAACUGCAUUUGAGGCUGUAUGGCUAGAGUGUGUCAGAGGGGGGUAGAAUUCCACGUGUAGCAGUGAAAUGCGUAGAUAUGUGGAGGAAUACCGAUGGCGAAGGCAGCCCCCUGGGAUAAUACUGACGCUCAUGCACGAAAGCGUGGGGAGCAAACAGGAUUAGAUACCCGUGUAGUCCCUGUCUCUUAUAC